ensembl:lncRNA
CAGGAUUGAUUUCUCUGCUGUUUUUGUUAUGGCUUCGCAUGGGACGGUGCUGGAAAAGAUAGUUCACUGACCAAUGAGAUUAAAUGUCACUGAAGGCUGAGAGGACUUCAUUUCACAUCAUGAAGAUUAGAAACUCAGCUAGAGUACUUUGGAGGAAAACAGCGAGACUGAGAGGGCGACCAUGGACAAAUUCUUACAAUUUCUUCAAAAUCCCUCCUCUGAAUAAGAUGACAAGAGAAGAGUGAUAGAUCUGUCACACUGAAACUCAUUUUCUGAGGAUAAAGCUGUUCUACAGGAAUAAGAUAUUUUAUUCAUGAUUUACACAAGCUCCAGUCUGGAUCCAGAACACCUGAGAAGAGAUGAUGCCAACCCCUCAGAGGACCUCAGAUGAUGCCAACCCUGAAACAACAUACAGAACUACCACAUUUUGCUAUAAGUUUGAUUGCAUCAUAUAAUAAUUGCUUUUAAUAGUGUUAAUCAUCUGUUUGAUAGCGUCUUUGAUUUUUCCGUACAUUUCUGCCAUAUGCACAUAAACUGACAGUCACCACUGAUAAGAUACUACUAAAUAUUAUAGAAACUUAAUUUUCUGUAAAGUUGCUUUUCAAUGAUUUGUAUCAUAAAAAGCACUAUACAAGUAUACUUGAAUUGAAUUGAACUGAAUUGAAAGAAAGAAAGUAAAAGAAAGGUACAAAAAUAAAAUUCUGAACAAGAAAUAAAAAGAAUUACAAAAAGAAAACUAUGUUCAAUCAAUUCACAAAAUAAAGCUAUGGAGUGGAUAAAUGAAUGCAUGAAUGACUGCAUGAAUGAAUGAAUGAAUGAAUGACAGUAAUAGAUAGAUAGAUAGAUAGAUAGAUAGAUAUUCAAGAAAUGCAGGCAUAUUCAAAAUGACAUAACACUAAACAUGGUGCAAGUAAUCUUAUAAUCUGUUUUUUUUUUUUUUUUUU